UACGUAGGGGGCAAGCGUUGUCCGGAAUCAUUGGGCGUAAAGCGCGUGUAGGCGGCCCGGUAAGUCCGCUGUGAAAGUCGGGGGCUCAACCCUCGAAUGCCGGUGGAUACUGUCGGGCUAGAGUGCGGGAGAGGCGAGUGGAAUUCCUGGUGUAGCGGUGAAAUGCGCAGAUAUCAGGAGGAACACCAAUUGCGAAGGCAGCUCGCUGGAACGUAACUGACGCUGGGGCACGAAAGCUAGGGGAGCAAACAGG
rnacentral:rRNA from 1 species